rnacentral:lncRNA from 8 species
GGUGUGUCCAACAUUUUGACUGGUACUGUGUACAUGAAUAACAAAUGAAUACAGAGUCGUCUUGUGCAAGAUUACAAAAGCGACACAUUCGCAACUGUGUGUAAAAAGCCAGAUUCUUCUCUUUUUUUUCUUUUACCUUUAUUUAACUAGGCAGCUCAGUUAAGAACAAAUUCUUAUUUACAAUGACGGCCUAGGAACAGUGGGUUAACGGCCUUGUUCAGGGGCAGAACGACAGAUUUGUACCUUGUCAGCUCGGGGAUUUGAACUUGCAACCUUUCGAUUACUGUUUGAGAAGUUCCAACUACUGAACAGUGAAGCCACCUGAUUGUUCCAGAACACCUGUAAAACAGAAAGAAGCUUUAAACAAUGAAUAACAAAUAAUUCCAUGGUUGAAUUACAUUGGGUUGACUCAAUUACAUUGAGUUGCCUCACCUUAUUUUGGUGGAACACCCUCAAUGUACUUUUAAAGGUAGUCUCAUCCAUUCUAUACAGCCGUAUACUUCUGGCGUGCUCUCUCUUUAUUUGCUUGAGCUGACAGCGUGAUAGGAAAAUGAAAGGGCCCAGAAAAAAGCACACUGUUGGAGGAGUCAGGAGGCCUAUGUUCUUAUAGAAAGCAUUACCAUGUGGUGGUAAUGAGCCAUCGGAAACAAGGGGGGGUAGAGAGGAGAAAAUGGCCUGACAUGAGGGCUUCCAUUAGCUUUCUGCAUGUAAAGGGGUCUACAUAGAAUUCGCAAACAGGGCCGACAGAGCGUAGCGCAGUGUCGCAAUGUCUUUUUUUCGUCACAAGUUUUAGGAAGCGUCUGUGCAAACUGGUGAGACAUACGAGAGUCUUUACCACCCUUCGAUACAGUUGUAUUCGGACGAACACGCAAAAGACAACAGCUGGAAGGAGAUAUCCCGGAUAUCACAUUUGAUCACUGAUACUGAUAUCAAAGAAACAUGGAGAAAGAUUUGGGACUGGUAUGUUCGCAAUCUGAAAAGGGGGAAGGAGAUGAGGAGUGGGGCUGCCGCUGGUGUGUGUGUCCCACCGAUUGUCUGACACCUGGAUUGGUUUUGUGUUCACAUGAAACAUUGUCAGACACCAAUAAUAUGCCAAAUACGGUGGUGGAGUGGGGUGGUGUUUUGGACAGCCCAGAAACAGAGUUGAGCCCUGAGGGCCCAUCUACAGGUGGUUCAUUGCCCCUUGGUUUAUCAUCGCUCUCCCCGGCCUGGUUCAUCACCUCCUCGGCCCUUCUCCCCAACGCCCAGGCCCUUCUCACCAGCAUGUUUUUUUUAUAUUCACUUAUUUCCUAAUUCAUGUUACUGUUGUUUACUUUGUGUUUUUUCUCUCAUUUCCCCUUUCAUCACACUUUUCACCUGUGUAUUACAUAGUUUUACGUUCAACUAUUUUCCUAAAUAAAUAUCAAAAAGGUCUGCAAAUGUAUUUGUCUGGUUAUUUACACAAAAAAUAUUACUGUUCUGAAUCAGUCACUCAGUAAACUACUGCUUUGUACUGUACAUGAGCUAUGUAGAUGAGGUUAAUGUAUUGGGGGUCUGUCCUUAUUUCCUUCAGCUGGACACUCAUUCUCACCGCUGUACCAUUGCAAUAAAGUAGCGUGUGUAGCGUGUUGAUGACUGUGUCGUCAGUGUCUGUAGUGCAAAGGUAAUUGUGGAGGGCCACGCAGGCCUUCACAAUGGUCUCAGCUUUCUGUGGGGCAACCUCAAGGGCUCGUUCCAGGAUCCUCCAUCUUGCAGCAAGGAUCCCAAAGCAGUUCUUUGACAUUGAGAGUGGUGGUAGUUGUAGAUAUUCUUGGCCUCAUCAAGGCCAGAACCUUUGAAUAAAAUAAUUAUUGCCAUUAGUAUUGAACAACGACACGAUGGCUAUCAAAUGUGUACCGUAACAACCGUGUGGCCUAUGCUUUGG